rnacentral:lncRNA from 1 species
CAUCGACCUCCGGCCCAUUCAAUAACUAUUUAAUAAUUUUAGUAUUUUUUUUGGCUAGAUAUAUUCCCAAUUUCCCAACCUCCCCAUAAUCCGAUCUCUUCCCCCGUUCGAUCGGAUCGAAGCUGUGUCGAUCGCAAAAAAAUUUGAGUUCUUUUUCUUUUGGAAGUGGUUCAUCUGUUGAUCGCUUCUUUUCCCGCGUUUUCUUGGGGAUUCGAUUGAGAAAGGUUAAAUUUCGAAUUCGUAAUAAUGGCCUUGAACUUGGCUCAGAGCGCCGCGGCGGCAGCGUGCUUCGCGCCNNN